rnacentral:lncRNA from 1 species
AUUUUAAUAGUUUUUAGUAUAGUUGUUCAGAAAAAAAAGACAAAUCACAUGUGUACAUGUAGACAUUGCUCAAGUUAUGAUAUAAUGUAAAAAUGAAAAUUUGGAACUUCAUUUAAAUCAUUUAUACCGGUCAUCUAUAAUAUAGUUGGUGUCCACAUGGACACCCAAAAUAAUUGAUAUUCUUUUGGAGUUUUAUGUUUGCUUCUAUUAUAGACAACAUCAAUGAUAUUUUGUGUACAAGUAACAUAGACAAUUUAUCAGUGUGAACAUAUAAAUUAUGGGAUCAAAUCAAAAGGAUUUAUUUUCCAAUCAGAAACAUCUGGGGCAUAAACGAAAUGAAACAAAAUGGCAUGGACCAAUGUUCCAAAAUCAGAAUAUUUGCUUGGUCUGGAUUGCACAAUUAAAAGUUUCGGAAAAUAUUCAUGAACAUAAUAGAAUUUUGAGACAAAUUUGAGAAUAAAUAAGAGUUGGAAGACCAGAUGUGCAA